rnacentral:rRNA from 1 species
GACGAACGCUGGCGGCGUGCCUAAUACAUGCAAGUAGAACGCUGAAGAGAGGAGCUUGCUCUUCUUGGAUGAGUUGCGAACGGGUGAGUAACGCGUAGGUAACCUGCCUGGUAGCGGGGGAUAACUAUUGGAAACGAUAGCUAAUACCGCAUAAAAUUGAUUAUUGCAUGAUAAUUAAUUGAAAGAUGCAACUGCAUCACUACCAGAUGGACCUGCGUUGUAUUAGCUAGUUGGUGAGGUAACGGCUCACCAAGGCGACGAUACAUGGCCGACCUGAGAGGGUGAUCGGCCACACUGGGACUGAGACACGGCCCAGACUCCUACGGGAGGCAGCAGUAGGGAAUCUUCGGCAAUGGGGGGAACCCUGACCGAGCAACGCCGCGUGAGUGAAGAAGGUUUUCGGAUCGUAAAGCUCUGUUGUAAGAGAAGAACGGGUGUGAGAGUGGAAAGUUCACACUGUGACGGUAUCGUACCAGAAAGGGACGGCUAACUACGU